CGUACCCUCCUCUGGACCGGACUCUGAUUGAGCGGUGCUCAUUGAGAGCUAAGUGUUCAAUGAGGGCGGACGUCGCCGACGAUAAUUGUAUACAAGAAGGUGAACGAACCGCAAGGACUAUCAUUUAAUUUAGAAAUUCUAGAGAGCGUUGACGGCCAUCUUUUCUUUCGCGCUCUCGUACCCCCCUCUGGACCGGACUCUGAUUGAGCGGUGCUCAUUGAGAGCUAAGUGUUCAAUGAGGGCGGACGUCGCCGACGAUAAUUGUAUACAAGAAGGUGAACGAACCGCAAAAGGCGUAGUGGC